rnacentral:rRNA from 1 species
UGGGGAAUCUUGGACAAUGGGGGCAACCCUGAUCCAGCCAUGCCGCGUGAGUGAUGAAGGCCUUAGGGUCGUAAAGCUCUUUCGCCUGUGAAGAUAAUGACGGUAGCAGGUAAAGAAACCCCGGCUAACUCCGUGCCAGCAGCCGCGGUAAUACGGAGGGGGUUAGCGUUGUUCGGAAUUACUGGGCGUAAAGCGCACGUAGGCGGACCAGAAAGUUGGGGGUGAAAUCCCGGGGGCUCAACCCCGGAACUGCCUCCAAAACUAUUGGUCUAGAGUUCGAGAGAGGUGAGUGGAAUUCCAAGUGUAGAGGUGAAAUUCGUAGAUAUUUGGAGGAACACCAGUGGCAGAAGGCGGCUCACUGGCUCGAUACUGACGCUGAGGUGCGAAAGUGUGGGGAGCAAACAGGAUUAGAUACCCUGGGUAGUCCACACCGUAAAACGAUGAAUGCCAGUCGUCGGGUAGCAUGCUAUUCGGUGACA